UACGGGGGGGGCAAGCGUUGUUCGGAAUUACUGGGCGUAAAGGGCUCGUAGGCGGCCAACUAAGUCAGACGUGAAAUCCCCAGGCUCAACCUGGGAACUGCGUCUGAUACUGGAUGGCUUGAAUUCGGGAGAGGGAUGCGGAAUUCCAGGUGUAGCGGUGAAAUGCGUAGAUAUUGGAAGGAACACCGGAGGCGAAAGCGGUGUACUGGGGCUGGUCUGACGCUGAGGCACGAAAGCCAGGGGAGCGAACGGG
rnacentral:rRNA from 1 species